UACAGAGGUCCCAAGCGUUGUUCGGAUUCACUGGGCGUAAAGGGUGCGUAGGUGGCAUGGUAAGUUUGAUGUGAAAGCUCAGGGCUCAACCCUGAAAUGGCAUUGAAUACUACUGUGCUGGAGGUUUGGAGGGGGGACUGGAAUUCUUGGUGUAGCAGUGAAAUGCGUAGAUAUCAGGAGGAACACCGAUGGCGAAGGCAGGUCUCUGGGCAGUUACUGACGCUGAGGAGCGAAAGCAUGGGGAGCGAACAGG
rnacentral:rRNA from 1 species